GCACCUGCAGAGCUUGAGGCCUGUGCCCUCGCAGGCCCCGACGGGGUCGCGCUCGCUACUGCCGGUUACUGCCAGGCGCGGAGCAGCCUGCACAGGCCCGAGCCCGGGGCCUCCUCUCCCGCCUGGCUGCCGGGUAACUGACUGCGCCCCCGGCCAGAGGGGAAUGGGCCUCCGGGGAUGGGAUGGGACGGGGCCUCCAGGAGGGUGUGGAGGACGUGACCGGAGACAGGCACUGCUGCAGGGUUAGGCCCUCGACUGAGCAGACCCGACCACGCUCCACCACCACCACCGCCACCGCCCAGUCAGGCCACGUGGGUUCAAGGCCACGCUAUGGGUCUUCGUAGGUGGACCAGUCUGUUAUUGCCCCCCAUGAUGAGGGGUACCGAGGCUGUUCUCAUGGUGGGCGAUUACCUUCAGGAGACAAAGCAUGUUUGGGGUGCUAACAUCAAUGCCCACGGUCGUGGGUUGAUUUCGAGACCUAGAAAGGGUUUGGGUUUGGUUUUGGUUUGUUCUGCUUCUUUGGGCUAGAGCCAGCCACAGUGACCCCAGCAGGUUCUGAGGGCCUGCGGCCUCCACGACGGCUAAAGUAUAGUCUGAGGUGGGCACUGCUCGCUUUGGGUCAGCCCGGGUCACUAACGGGGCCUGGUGGUCCAACCUGGCUAAUCACUGCUAGGAGUGAAACUGAGGCAUGAAGUAGAUACCUGGGUUUGGGGAGGUACAGGCUUAGCCCAGGCCCCUGAGACCCCCACCCUGAGCUGUGGAGGUGUGCAGGCAGGCGGGAACCAAGUAGCCCGAGGUGAAUCACAGCCCACAUCCCUUCCAGGGUGCUGCUCCCUUCCCUCGUGUCCUAAAGGGCCUGGGAGCUUGUUCUUCAGAGGGUGCUGGGCCCACAGUGGCCAAGGUCAGGUGUUCUCGCCCAAAUGGCCUGGUUGCAGGGCCCUUACUUAGGACAGGGGAGUCUCCUUUUCCUUAGCUCUGGAUGUGUUACUGUUUUGAUUGUACACUGGGCAGGGCGGGGGGGAAUCAAACUUCUAGAUUUUUUUAAUUGCCAUUCUUUGGUACCGCCACAGACUAAUAGUAAAUAAAAUUUCUUGCAAUUAUAUGGCAAAAAAGAUAACUGUGAUACCAGCUUAUAUCUUUGCACACAGCCCUUAAACAUAGGAUCAAACAAGAGAGCAAACACAGGUAAAGGCCUGAAGACAGGGUCGCUUGGAUGCCUCAGUCAGGAUGGAGAAAGCCAGCUAGUGCGUUGUGAGCUGCCCACUGGGAAGCUCUGUGUGGCAAGGAACUGAUGUCUCUGGCCAAUAACCAUCAAGGACCUGAGGCCUGCUGACUGCAGAAGUGGAUUCUCCCCAGCUGAGCCUUCAGAUAAGACCACAGCCCACGCUGACUCUUCAAUUGCAGGCAUCUAAGACACAACCUGAGCCUAAGGAUCCAACUAAACGGCCUGGAUUCCUGACCCCCAGAAGUAGUGAGAUAAUAAAUGAAUAUUGUUUUUAGCUGCCAAGUUUGAGGGUUGUCACACGGCAAUGUAACUAAUACAACAGAGAGGGAGUUAAAAUCCAGACAUGUUGUUGCCAGAGCCUACUUGAAAAGAACGAUAUGGAGGGGCACCUGGGUGGCUUAGUCGGUUAAGCAUCCGACUCUUGAUUUCAGUUCACCUCAUGAUCUCACGGUUCAUGGGUUUGAUCCCCGCAUCAGGCUCUGCACUGACAGCAUGGAUCUCUCUCUCUCUUCUCUCUCCCUCCGUCUCUGCCUACACGUACCCUCUCUCUCUUUCUCUCUUUCAAAAUGAAUAAACAAACUUGAAAAAAAUCAAUAUGGAGAAAGGGCUGUUAGGAUGCGUAUGGAAUUGCAGAGUUUCAUCAUUUUCAAUCCGUCCCUCUGCUGCCUACACAAAGUCCCCAGAUCAAGACAAGGUAGGACUCUGGAGAGAAAGGAUGGCAUAUUACACUUGUGGUCACGACUCUGACCUCCAGAGUGAUCAUACUCACAAAACAGUAGCCUCCCCCCUUCACAAUUUGACAUGGGUAAACAGAGACAUGUUCUCUGCCAUUCUUGUCCAUGGAAUUAAAAAUAUCUAGCUUCAUUUCAUCAGAUUCCAGGAUUUCAUAUUUUUUUUAACACUUCUUAGAAGACCUUUUAAAUAUAGCAUUUAAGUUUAAGAAAAAAAUCAAAGCUGUCUAGCACAAGUCAUACUGUGGAUCCUUCCCCCAUAUAUGAAAUUGGAUUUUUAAAAGUCAAUAAAACUGGCCUGGAGGGGAAAAAAAAGAAAAGGAGAGAGAGUUCAUAAAAAUAGUUGAUGUAUUAAUCAGUGAAAUGAGAUUAAUUUGCUUUGCAUAGAGAAGAGUUGGUUCAAUCGACGGAUGAUAAUGUAAAUCAAGUCAUUGUUUUUUUUUAGCAGCCCCAGAACUGCUGUGAACCCCUUCCUCCCGGCAGCUUCCUCCCUGAACCCCUUCCUCCCAGCAGCUGCUCCCCUACCCCUUCAUCUCUGGCCCUACAGUAUUUGAGGUUCAUAAAGAACCAGGCCCCCGUGGAGCAAAGGGAAAAGGGGAGCUGUCCAAUGGGCAUAGAGUUUCAGUUCUGCAAGAUGAAAAAGUCCUGGUCAUCUGUUGGAUAAAAAUGUGAAGAUAGUUAACACCACUGAACUUUAUACUUAAAAAUGGCUUAGGAGAAGUGAAGUCGCUGAAGAAAGUAUCGCUGAAACUUGAAGAUGAAAAGCUAUAAGCCGUUCCAUUAUUCGGCUUUCAAAGCUUUCCCCUGAGUGACAAUACAAAAACGGAGCUCCUCGCACAGUGCCGGGUUGUCAUCUUUUUCAUAAAAGCAUUUAUUUGAUUGAUAAAAUCUGUGAUACCUGGAGGUUCGAUUAUUUUUCACGAAUCGUUUUCAAAAUGAAUCACAAAAGUGCUUUUCUUUGCUCUUCCUCGACCUUGUUAGCCGAACCCACUAUCCCCAAAUCAACUACAAUUUAGCUAUUCUAGAUUUUCUCCCCACCCUGCCCCAUUGCUCUGAAUUUUAGCAAAGCAUGAGCUAAAUAAUAAUACAGCAGUAUGAGUGGCAGAACCGAGCACACAGAAGGAGCUUGAUGAUCAUCCGUUCCUUACCCCGUGCUUCCAGUUGGUUUUUGUGUGUGAGAAGACCAUCCCCUUCGCUUCCACCCAAGGGCAGCUGUAUACACAGCUGUCAGCGAAUUUUCCACAAGCUGUGCCCUUCAAUCCUAAGCCAGGGUCUCCCAUCCAAGGAGGCCUCAGCAUACCGACACCUGCCAUUGCCUCGUGAGCAGUCUCCUGUAUGCCCUGCCCUGUAAGAGGCACCGAGGGGCUGUAGGUAUGUGAAAAGCACGGUCUGUUAGUACCAACAGCUGGAUCCAGCAGCCUUUUGAAACACUGAGCUAGGAGUCUGGUGGGUCUGUCAUCGAAUGCUGAGUUGCACGACACAAAGUGGUUGGCAUGAGGCAGCAGGGCGUGAAAAGAAUGUGGACCCUUAGUGGGUUCAACAGUGUCCUCCAAAAAGAUAUGUUCGCCGCCUAACCCGGGGUACCUGUAAAUGUAACCUUACUCGGAAAUUGUUUCUUUGCAGGUGUCAUUCAUUAAACAUCCUGAGAGGAGGUCUUCCCGGAUUUAGUGUGGGCCCUACGUCCCAUGACUGGCGUCCUUAUGAGAGAAAAGAAAGGGAAAGUUGACGCAGACAGACACAGAAAAGAGAAGGCCGUGUGUGCACGGAGGCAGAUAGGGGAGUGACACAGCUACAAGCCAGGGAGCACCAGGCGCAGCCAGAAGCUGGAGGACAGAGAAGAGAAUAGACUCCCCUUUGCUCUCCAGAAACAGCCAUGCCUGUGAACACCUUGAUUUCAGACUCAUCGUCUCCAACACUGUGAGAUAAAUCUGCUGUGUGUGUGUGUGUGUGUGUGUGUGUAUGUGUGGUGUUUUUUGAGAGAGCCCAAGCAGGAAAGGGUCAGAGAAAGGGGGACAGAGGAUCUGAAGCAGGCUCUGCACUGACAACAGUGAGCCUGACGUGGGGCUUGAACUCACAAAUCACUAGAUCAUGACCUGAGCCAAAGUUGGACUGACAGACCCACCCAGGUGCCCCAAUAAGUCUGUUGUAAGCCAGCCGGGUUGUAAUAAUUGCUUACUGCAGCCCAAGGAAGCUGAUACAACUACACAGUUUCAAAUCCGUUUCCCCACCAGCUCUGUGGCCUAGGACACCGAACAUCGGUGUCUCCAUCUAGAGUCAUAACACGCAUCUCACAGAAAAAUCAGAAAACAACUCAGACUGCUUAUCAUCCAGUCUCCAACCUAUGGGACCGUGCGUAUGAGACUUAACACGUUGUCUCAGCUUCCUCAUCUAUGAAAUGGGGAUGGAAACAGUAACGUAACCUGGUAAGGCUGGGGCAAGAACUUGGGGACACCAUACACGGAAAUCGCAGAUGCAGAGAGCCAUGCCUGCAUAGACAAAGUCCUCGGCAAGUGGGAGCCGCAGAUGCCUGACCCGCCGUGGCGGCGACUGGCAGGGGAACUGAGUAGGAGGGAGACCAGUAAUGUUUGGGGGGCCAG